rnacentral:rRNA from 1 species
CAAUAGCGUAUAUUAAAGUUGUUGCGGUUAAAAAGCUCGUAGUUGGAUUUCUGCCGAGGACGACCGGUCCGCCCUCUGGGUGUGUAUCUGGCUCGGCCUGGGCAUCUUCUUGGAGAACGUAUCUGCACUUGACUGUGUGGUGCGGUAUCCAGGACUUUUACUUUGAGGAAAUUAGAGUGUUUCAAGCAGGCAUACGCCUUGAAUACAUUAGCAUGGAAUAAUAAGAUAGGACCUCGGUUCUAUUUUGUUGGUUUCUAGAGCUGAGGUAAUGAUUAAGAGGGACAGACGGGGGGCAUUCGUAUUACGGUGUUAGAGGUGAAAUUACUUGGUAUCGUCCGUAAAGACGAACUACUGCGAAAGCAUUUGCCAAGAAUGUUUUCAUUAAUC